rnacentral:snoRNA from 1 species
AAUCCGUGGUGAGGGUAAUCACGUUUAUACUCCUUUAAACGUUCCCAGGCUUCAUAGAAAGAUGCAGUUGGCCCUUGUGAAAGUUUGAGAUCUUUGUUCUCAACU